rnacentral:rRNA from 1 species
UACUAGAGUAGCACUUCGCAUAUCAAUAAGCGGAGGAAAAGAAACUAACUAGGAUUCCCUUAGUAACGGCGAGUGAAGCGGGAAGAGCUCAAAUUUGAAAUCUUCAAGGUUCUACCUUGACGAAUUGUAGUUUAAAGAAGUGUUUUCUGUUGGAGUUUUGGUAAAAGUUCUUUGGAAUAGGACAUCAUAGAGGGUGAGAAUCCCGUAUUUGACCAUUAUUUCCAACUUUGUGAUACACUUUCAAAGAGUCGGAUUGUUUGGGAAUGCAGUCCAAAAUGGGUGGUAAAUUUCAUCUAAAGCUAAAUAUUGGCGAGAGACCGAUAGCGAACAAGUACCGUGAGGGAAAGAUGAAAAGAACUUUGAAAAGAGAGUUAAACAGUACGUGAAAUUGUCAAUAGGGAAGCGUUUGACACCAGUGUUGUUUUCUCGAAAAUCAAUUAAAAAUGGCGGGAUUUUGUGUUGUAUUGACUUUAUCAGCUUUCUGCACUUUUUUCCUGUCUUUUUUAAUGCACUUUUCGUUUAACAAGUCAACAUCAAUUUCUUUUGUUGUAAAAGAGUCAUUGGAAGGUGGCUUUCUUUUCGGAGAAAGUGUUUAUAGCCUUUGGCCUCUGCAGUCGGAGAGAUUGAGGUCUGCAGCGUAGAUCCUUCGGGGUUAGAUACAUUUGUGCUAAGCUAUAGCCUUUCAUAGACAACUUGUUGACUAUGAUCAGUCAUGUAGCUUACUCGCUUAUGUCUAUUUUACCUACGCUUAGGAUGUUGAUAGUCACAGCGUGUAC